GACGAACGCUGGCGGCGUGCUUAACACAUGCAAGUCGAACGGAAAGGCCCUGCUUUUGUGGGGUGCUCGAGUGGCGAACGGGUGAGUAACACGUGAGUAACCUGCCCUUGACUUUGGGAUAACUUCAGGAAACUGGGGCUAAUACCGGAUAGGAGCUCCUGCUGCAUGGUGGGGGUUGGAAAGUUUCGGCGGUUGGGGAUGGACUCGCGGCUUAUCAGCUUGUUGGUGGGGUAGUGGCUUACCAAGGCUUUGCCGGGUAGCCGGCCUGAGAGGGUGACCGGCCACACUGGGAUUGAGAUACGGCCCAGACUCCUCCGGGACGCAGCAGUGGGGAAUAUUGCACAAUGGGCUGAAGCCUGAUGCAGCAACGCCGCGUGCGGGAUGACGGCCUUCGGGUUGUAAACCGCUUUCGCCUGUGACGAAGCGUGAGUGACGGUAAUGGGUAAAGAAGCACCGGCUAACUACGUG
rnacentral:rRNA from 1 species